rnacentral:rRNA from 1 species
CCCUUAGAUGUUCUGGGCUGCACGCGCGCUACACUGAUACUUUCAGCGAGUCCACCACCUUGCCUGAGAGGGUGGGGUAACCUCUGGAAAGUGUAUCGUGAUGGGGAUCGAUUAUUGUAAUUAUUAAUCUUCAACGAGGAAUUCCUAGUAAGCAUGUGUCAUCAGCCCGUGCUGAUUACGUCCCUGCCCUUUGUACACACCGCCCGUCGCUCCUACCGAUUGGACGUUUUAGUGAGGUAUUUGGACUGGGCCUUGGGAGGUUUCGGCCUCCCUUGUUGCUCGGAAAGACUCCCAAACUUGAGCGUUUAGAGGAAGUAAAAGUCGUAACA